UCCCAGUUCGGAUUGUAGUCUGNAACCCGACUACAUGAAGCUGGAAUCGCUAGUAAUCGCAGGUCAGCAUACUGCGGUGAAUACGUUCCCGGGUCUUGUACACACCGCCCGUCACACCAUGGGAGCCGGAAAUGCCCGAAGCCAGUGACCCAACCUUAGGGAGGGAGCUGUCGAAGGUGGAGCCGGUAACUGGGGUGAAGUCGUAACAAGGUAGC
rnacentral:rRNA from 1 species